AGCAGCGUGGCUUAGUGGAAAGAGCCCGGGCUUGGGAGUCAGAGGUCGUGGGUUCUAAUCCCACUUCUGCCA
rnacentral:tRNA from 1 species